rnacentral:rRNA from 1 species
UACGUAGGGGGCGAGCGUUGUCCGGAAUUAUUGGGCGUAAAGAGCGUGUAGGCGGUCCGGUAAGUCCGCUGUGAAAGUCGGGGGCUCAACCCUCGGAUGCCGGUGGAUACUGUCGAGCUUGAGUACGGAAGAGGCGAGUGGAAUUCCUGGUGUAGCGGUGAAAUGCGCAGAUAUCAGGAGGAACACCAAUUGCGAAGGCAGCUCGCUGGGACGUUACUGACGCUGAGACGCGAAAGCGUGGGGAGCAAACAGG